AUUGAACGCUGGCGGCAGGCCUAACACAUGCAAGUCGAACGGUAACAGGAAGAAGCUUGCUUCUUUGCUGACGGGUGGCGGACGGGUGAGUAAUGUCUGGGAAACUGCCUGAUGGAGGGGGAUAACUACUGGAAACGGUAGCUAAUACCGCAUAACGUCGCAAGACCAAAGAGGGGGACCUUCGGGCCUCUUGCCAUCGGAUGUGCCCAGAUGGGAUUAGCUAGUAGGUGGGGUAACGGCUCACCUAGGCGACGAUCCCUAGCUGGUCUGAGAGGAUGACCAGCCACACUGGAACUGAGACACGGUCCAGACUCCUACGGGAGGCAGCAGUGGGGAAUAUUGCACAAUGGGCGCAAGCCUGAUGCAGCCAUGCCGCGUGUAUGAAGAAGGCCUUCGGGUUGUAAAGUACUUUCAGCGGGGAGGAAGGGAGUAAAGUUAAUACCUUUGCUCAUUGACGUUACCCGCAGAAGAAGCACCGGCUAACUCCGUGCCAGCAGCCGCGGUAAUACGGAGGGUGCAAGCGUUAAUCGGAAUUACUGGGCGUAAAGCGCACGCAGGCGGUUUGUUAAGUCAGAUGUGAAAUCCCCGGGCUCAACCUGGGAACUGCAUCUGAUACUGGCAAGCUUGAGUCUCGUAGAGGGGGGUAGAAUUCCAGGUGUAGCGGUGAAAUGCGUAGAGAU
rnacentral:rRNA from 1 species